UAGGGAAUCUUCGGCAAUGGACGAAAGUCUGACCGAGCAACGCCGCGUGAGUGAAGAAGGUUUUCGGAUCGUAAAACUCUGUUGUUAGAGAAGAACAAGGACGUUAGUAACUGAACGUCCCCUGACGGUAUCUAACCAGAAAGCCACGGCUAACUACGUGCCAGCAGCCGCGGUAAUACGUAGGUGGCAAGCGUUGUCCGGAUUUAUUGGGCGUAAAGCGAGCGCAGGCGGUUUCUUAAGUCUGAUGUGAAAGCCCCCGGCUCAACCGGGGAGGGUCAUUGGAAACGGGGAGACUUGAGUGCAGAAGAGGAGGGUGGAAUUCCAUGUGUAGCGGUGAAAUGCGUAGAUAUAUGGGGGAACACCAGUGGCGAAGGCGGCUCUCUGGUCUGUAACUGACGCUGGGCUCGAAAGCGUGGGGAGCAAACAGG
rnacentral:rRNA from 1 species